UUUAACGGAUUUAUCUUUAUAGCUUGCUAUGAUAAAAAUUAGUGGCAGACGGGUGAGUAAUGCAUAGGAAUCUACCUAGUAGUAUGGGAUAGCCACUAGAAAUGGUGGGUAAUACUGUAUAAUCCCUGCGGGGGAAAGAUUUAUCGCUAUUAGAUGAGCCUAUGUUAGAUUAGCUAGUUGGUAGGGUAAAGGCCUACCAAGGCAGUGAUCUAUAGCUGGUCUGAGAGGAUGAUCAGCCACACUGGAACUGAGAUACGGUCCAGACUCCUACGGGAGGCAGCAGUGGGGAAUAUUGGACAAUGGGCGCAAGCCUGAUCCAGCUAUGCCGCGUGAGUGAGGAAGGCCUUAGGGUUGUAAAACUCUUUCAGUGGGGAAGAUAAUGACGGUACCCACAGAAGAAGUCCCGGCAAACUCCGUGCCAGCAGCCGCGGUAAUACGGAGGGGGCAAGCGUUGUUCGGAAUUAUUGGGCGUAAAGGGCAUGUAGGCGGUUCGGUAAGUUAAAGGUGAAAUGCCAGGGCUUAACCCUGGAGCUGCUUUAAAUUACUGCA
rnacentral:rRNA from 1 species